rnacentral:rRNA from 1 species
CCUACGGGAGGCUGCAGUGGGGAAUAUUGGGCAAUGGGCGCAAGCCUGACCCAGCAACGCCGCGUGAAGGAAGAAGGCUUUCGGGUUGUAAACUUCUUUUGUCAGGGACGAACCAAGUGACGGUACCUGACGAAUAAGCCACGGCUAACUACGUGCCAGCCGCCGCGGGACUACGUAGGUGGCACGCGUUAACCGGAUUUACUGGGUGUAAAGGGCGUGUAGGCGGGGCUGCAAGUCAGAGGUGAAAACCACGGGCUCAAACUGUGGCCUGCAUUUGAUACGGUAGUUCUGGAGUACUGGAGAGGCAGACGGAAUUCCAGGUGAAGCGGUGAAAUGCGUAGAUAUAAGGAGGAACACCAGUGGCGAAGGCGGCUUGCUGG